rnacentral:rRNA from 1 species
GACGAACGCUGGCGGCGUGCUUAACACAUGCAAGUCGAACGGAAAGGCCUCUUUCGGGGGGUACUCGAGUGGCGAACGGGUGAGUAACACGUGAGUAACCUGCCCUUUACUUUGGGAUAACUUCAGGAAACUGGGGCUAAUACCGGAUAGGAGCUCCUGCUGCAUGGUGGGGGUUGGAAAGUUUCGGCGGUUGGGGAUGGACUCGCGGCUUAUCAGCUUGUUGGUGGGGUAGUGGCUUACCAAGGCUUUGACGGGUAGCCGGCCUGAGAGGGUGACCGGCCACAUUGGGACUGAGAUACGGCCCAGACUCCUACGGGAGGCAGCAGUGGGGAAUAUUGCACAAUGGGUGGAAGCCUGAUGCAGCAACGCCGCGUGCGGGAUGACGGCCUUCGGGUUGUAAACCGCUUUCGCCUGUGACGAAGCGUGAGUGACGGUAAUGGGUAAAGAAGCACCGGCUAACUACGUG